rnacentral:rRNA from 1 species
AACGAACGCUGGCGGCAUGCCUAACACAUGCAAGUCGAACGAAGGCUUCGGCCUUAGUGGCGCACGGGUGCGUAACGCGUGGGAACCUGCCCCUCGGUUCGGAAUAACAGUUAGAAAUGACUGCUAAUACCGGAUGAUGACUUCGGUCCAAAGAUUUAUCGCCGAGGGAUGGGCCCGCGUAGGAUUAGCUAGUUGGUGGGGUAAAGGCCUACCAAGGCGACGAUCCUUAGCUGGUCUGAGAGGAUGAUCAGCCACACUGGGACUGAGACACGGCCCAGACUCCUACGGGAGGCAGCAGUGGGGAAUAUUGGACAAUGGGCGAAAGCCUGAUCCAGCAAUGCCGCGUGAGUGAUGAAGGCCUUAGGGUUGUAAAGCUCUUUUACCAGGGAUGAUAAUGACAGUACCUGGAGAAUAAGCUCCGGCUAACUCCGUGCCAGCAGCCG